AAAGAACCAGAGACCCGAGCUAGCACUAGAUCAGAUCACCAUUCCUAGCUCUCUUACGAUCUUGCGUUCUUGCUCUUGCUGUGGUGGGAAAUCAAUCAAUCGCCAAAUGGCUGCCAAGCACGGUCUCUUUGUUGCUCUCAACCUACUCCUCUUCGCCGCCGCUGUGUACGGCUGUGCAGAUAACUGUGAGCCAUCCUAUCCCACUCCACCCGUCGAGCCACCAUCAUCGACCUACGUUCCCGAGCCACCAGCUCCGAUAGCGCCGGCGACCGACGGCCACAGCCAUCGCCCGGCCGGUCGGUGCCCACUGGAUGCGCUCAAGCUCCAGGUGUGCGCAAGUGUCCUGGACGGCCUUGUCAAGAUCAGCCUGCCGGAGGAGCGUGAGAAGUGUUGCCGGCUGCUGGACGGGCUCGUCGACAUCGAUGCCGCCGCCUGCCUCUGCACCGUGCUCAAGACCAACGUCCUCGGCAUUUCCCUCCACGUGCCCAUCGACAUCAGCCUCAGUCUAAACCGGUGCGGCCGCAAGGAUUGCCCGCCCGGCUUGACCUGCCCUCGCUAUUAAUUAAUCUCGAUUGUUAAUCAAGGUCCAGCCACGUUAUUUAUGUCCAUGCGCACAAGGAGCACACACUUCUGGUCUAGUAUCUCACUUGAUUCAAAAGUUUAUUGCUUGCAGCGGCGACCUAUCUGAGCCGUUGCAAGGUGGAAUAAUUUUCUUCUAUAUUUAUUUGUCGCACCUUCAGUUCGUUACAAAUCCCUAUUGCAUUUUGGUAUUUGUUUUAAGGCAUUUAUCAAGUUAGUUAUGGAGUUUGUACUUGUACUAAUAUCUUUAAUUAAUUUCUUGAUCAAUGCCGAAACGGAUCUUAUUAUCAACAUGAGUGUGCAUCGUUGAGAAAAAGAGCUGGCUCCCUUGGGAGCUCCGAUCCCAUGGAAAUGAUAGAACUUCAUGAACAAAUUAAACCUAAUGGAGUAUCCAGUAUGUAUAUGAUGAUUUUGCUAAAAGUUUUCAUCAGAAAACGCCUAUUUACUCUCACCCUCAAGGUGACAUCACGAUCCUUUCUAACUUUUACUACUAAAACAAAAACCAAAUAUAGUGGUUUGUUUAGUGUUGACAACGUUGUUUAGUAUUCAUUAGUAAAGGUGCGUUCUACCUUCCAAAGCCAUCAACACUAAAGAACAUCGCCUCAACAUCCAGGGGUCCAUUUAUACUCCAGGGAGGCACAAACAUAAAACCCUAGGUGAUUCGGAGCCGAAACAACAAAACUGAGCCUUGGACGGACCUUCCAAAAGCUAUAUCUCCAAGACAAUUCUGAUGUUCCUCUAAAAGUGGAAACAUGGAAGAAAAAUAUAAAUGCCAACAAGUAACUCCUGCAAAGGUGAAAAUAACUUCAUCCACUCAUUGAACUCCGACCAUCAAGCCACCUGCUUCAACAACCUCAUUGUCCACCAUAAGGUGAAAUGAAUCCGUAAGACACUGACCAGUGUUGGAGGUUCCAUGCAUGUCCUGGAACAUGGCAACAACGCCAAGCCCCGGUGUGCAAGGCAACAACUAUUCCAGCACCUUAGGGGAUUCUCCUAAAGUGACGUCUGCAAAAAGAAAAGGACAUCCAUGGAUGCUGCCAUCACACUACCGACUGAACCGAGCCUAGGUUUUCGUCUAGAGACAUCACUAGCAAGAGGUGAGCAUGGCACAACGAUGCCUCCAGCGAGGAAAUCAAGUGGCGCCUGCGUCGAGAUUGGGCAGCAAGAAGUUGACACCGCAAUUCCCAACAACCAGCACCCGCCGACCAAUGCAAUGGAAUCGUUUUGCCAAAAGCAACUAUCGUAGAGGCUUCGAAGAAUGAGGCCUAACGGCGGAUCCGGACAAAUCAGACCUAGCUGGAGACCAAUCGGCCAAUUGCUGAUUGCCAGUGCGCAACCAGCCAACAGCCUAUGGUUAUCGUACGCUAAGGGCCCAUCAGGCACACCGGCCACCAGGAGCCUGAGCUGAUCUUAGAGGGAAAUGGGAAGGGAGGAAAGGGAAGUGAUGCUUAAGGCCACCAUUGCCGCCGCUCAGACUGCUGCUGCGGCAGCGGCCGGGGAGGAGCAUCGAAGUAGGUCUUGGGCACGAGAUUCGAUCGCCUCCCGUGUUGCCCUAUUGACCACCAUUGAUCUACGAACUGAAACCUAAACCCUGUCUCUUAAUCUACCUCUGGAUCUCUUUCUCAAGUGGGUUUUUUUUUUGGUUUGAGUGACUUGUAUUUUUCCUCUUUUUAUUUUGUUAUCUUCUUAUAAAAAUUUGGCAAAACUCUGUUUGUUCUAAGAAAUAUCUCCGUCUUUGCUGUGUUGAGGACGAGAGCAGCUGGAGCUCAGAGAAGAGAACGAGUGGAGAAGACAACGAGUGGAUAAGAAUUCAUGGAGGUGGUGGCUGGGUCCCGCGUCUGAUAUUUUUAUCCAGCGUCGGACGUGCAGCAUUACCAUUGUUCAAAGAAAUAUCUCCGUCUACAUCCUCUUUCUCCUACCUAUUGCUGGCAACGGCUUUAUCCAUCAAAAUCCCUCCGGUGUGCCGCUGGUGAGGAAGGAAGAGGAUCGUAACUGAACAUAGGUUGCAUGUCUUGGUUGCAUUGUACGUAUAGUUUUAAUAAAAUGAAUAGCGAGAGGCCUGGAAUUAUGAUUAUUCCACUCACACCAUGAGUCCACGUCUCCACCAUAUGGUAUCACUUAUUAAAUAAUUCUACUUCAUUGAGAAAAUUGUACUAUGUUCGUUAGCGGUAAUUAUGCGGAUUUGCUUCCAACAAUCGAACGAGAUCUGCCACAUGCAACUAGCGGGCGCAAUACUGCUGGUGGAGUUCAUCGAUAGCCAUGUACUACAUGCGAAUCAUAUGAUUCGGUGCAUAUAUUCUACAAAGAAAUAUACCUAAGUAAUAGGGAAUUAAAUGGGGUUAUAAUUAUUUCUGAACUAAUGAAGCGUUCGACGCAUACAUUCUGGUCUGGUCAUCUGGACAUGCAGCGCACACACUACGGGAAAGACUAAAUUCGCCGAGUAUAAUUUUUUCGCCGAGUGCAAUAAUGCGGGCACUCGGCGAAGGCCCCGUUUGUUGAGUGUAUUACUCAUAACACUCGGCAAACACAAUGCACUCGGCGAUAAAGAGAUUUGCCGAGUGCCAAAUAAGAAAACACUCGGCAAAACCCCGUCGACACUCGGCAAAUAUAAUACACUCGACGAACUAUUGAGCACAUGACCUGCACGUGCGCCGUCCGGUCGAAACCGUGACGGACGUUAGUUGUUUGCCGAGUGUCGACGGUGGACACUCGGCAAAGCUACUAGUAUGCCGAGUGCUAAGGGGGACACUCGGCAAACUUUAGUGUUUGCCGAGUGUUGUGAUUGGACACUCGGCAAAGCUGCGAAUAUGCCGAGUGCUAGGGGGAACACUCGGCAUACUUUAGGGUUUGCCGAGUGUUUUUUGACACACUCGGCAAAAUUAAUUUUUUUCCCUCCUCCACCCUCCAAACUUUUUAUACUCCACAUGUAUGGCAUUUGGCACUGCAUGGUAGAAGGUGGACUAUUUAUUGACCUGUUUGCUAUAUUUAAUCAAUUAAUUUCAUUUAGAGUAAUUUGUUGAUUUAAGUCAAAUUUGAACUGCAGGUGAUUGGAAUAAUGGAAUAAUAUGAGUGGAAAAAUCAUAUUCAUGUUAGUGAGUCCAAAUUGAGGUCUCACCCGGAAAAUGAAAAGAAAUUUCGAACAUUUUGUUAAGGAAACACGACUACGAACGUGUGGCCAAAUGAUUUUUUAGUUCUCAAAAAUACAAACGAAGUUUGAAAAUCACUAGAUUUUCCAAGAUGCUAUGAUUUCAUAUGCAGAGGCUGUGGUAAAAAAUUGAGAAGGUUUCGCACAAAUUUUCACAUAUGAUGCUUAGAAUUCGAAGCAUCUCCGGAGAGGAUUCGUAGAAGCUGGAAGGAUCCGGUAAAAUUUUGAGUCGAAUCGAUACUUAAAUUUGUGAUUGAGUUCAAAAUUUUUUUUAUAGACCAUAGAGAACAUAGAUUGGUUCAUGUCAAAUUUUGGGAAUUUUUCGGAUCCGUUUGGUAAUUUUUAUUUAUUAAUUGCAAGUAUAUGAAUUUAAUAGAUAUAAAUUUAAUAUGAGCUAUAAAUCCAUGAAAUAAUGGAAUAAUAUUACUUAAAAAAUGAAAUACGCAAUGUUUAGUGAAUUUGACUAGGUUUUUACAAACUUUACAUACUUUUAAUUACUAAAACUACUUUGGACAUGAAAUAUCACUACCUGUUUGCCGAGUGUCAUCCCUUGGACACUCGGCAAAGCUCGCUGCGGGUCCAUGUGCCAGCCUCAGUCCACCUCAGUCCAAGCCUCAGUUUGAAAUCCGAAAAAAAAAUUUGCCGAGUGCUCCUGAUCUAGCACUCGGCAAAGGCUUUGCCGAGUGCUAGAUCACGGGACACUCGGCAAAGCCUGCCACUUAACCCGGACUUAGUCCCUCACGCGGACAGCAAACACGCACAACAGGCACACGCACGCGCCGCCCACCCGCGCCGCUCGCCCCGCGCCGCCGCCCCGUGUUGCCUGCCCCGCGCCGCUGCCCCGCGCCGCUCGUGCCCCCGCGCCGGCCCCCGGGCCCCGGCUGCCGAACCGCCGGCCCCCUGGCCGCCCCCGCGCCGCCGCCGGCUGGCCCCCGCGCCGGCUUUUGUGCAGGGUUCACUUCCCUAGCUUGGUGGUGUACGCCGGACAGCAGCAGCCGGCCUACACGUGGGACCACUACGUCGCCGCCCCCGACGUCCCUGAUCGUGAACAGAGGAGAUUCCCCAACAUAGCGGAGCGGGUCAAGGUCGAGCUGUGGGUAAGUACUUCUCGUACUAAAUUGCUCAAUACAUCUCCUACUUUCGACAUUCUUGAAAUAAUAACUGUAUAUGCGUCUAUAUGCAGGAUUUCUAUAGAUGCCAGGAGGGAUUCGAGGCCAAGACGAAGGCCGUCUGUGAUGUAGCCGCCAAGAAGCUCGUGAAGGACAUGCAUUACGAGGCGCGCAUCCAGGCCAUCAUCGAAUUCCACGCUCAAUACAGACAGAUGAAGGUUAGAAAAGAGGAGGCAAGAACAAUGAACCUGACUAAGGACCAAUUCAUGAGGGUAAGUAAAGAACAUUGAUACUUACUAUUUAAGAUUAAUUAGGCUCAUUUUCUUUUCAUAUGUCACACGCUUGAUGAUGUAGGUGCCUCCGUGGUGGUGUCGUGCGCAUAUGCCGUGCUGGGAGAGGAUGGUCGACGUGUGGUUGGAGCCCGGGUGGUUGGAGAACCACCUUGCUUGCCGGCAGCGGCGUUUGCAGAUGCCGACUGCACCACACCAUCAAGGCAGCCUAAGCCUUGAUGAAUAUAGAGAAAAAUGGGUACGCAUUCAGUUCUACAUAAUUCCUAAUCAUUUUGUAUUUUUUGCCGCAGUCGGCGUCACAUGAUGGCCGACCUUGCUCCCAGCUCAAGGCAUGGGUCCUCUCCAAAAAGGGCAAGGCGACGACUGAUAUCGAUUUCAACCUAGAUGACCCGUCCGAGGCGUACAGCCACCCUAGCAUACACAGCCGUGUCAGCGAGUAUACAAAGAUGGCUAGGGAGGUUCACGGGCCAGACUUCGAUCCGAGCUCCAAGGACAUUGAUGGAGAAAUCGUGAUGAGGGUGGAAGGAGGCAAGAAGCAUGGCCGAUAUUGGAUUGGCGACGGCGUAGUCGACACGGCCUCUACUCCCACUCUCUCCCAGAUCUGAGCUAGGAGCACGGACUCGAGCCCGGUGAUACGGCCACGACCCACCACUGCACAGUUCCAGAUGGAGGCUCUCCAGGUUCUUUCUCUUCCAUUCAUCAUUCGUUUGUUGUUAUACUUUAGCUUUGCAUUAUAACAUUGCAAUGAAAUAUUGUAGGCCCAGGUGGAAGAAGCAAGGAAGAAACAAGAGGAGAUGGCGGCACAGAUGGAGGACAUGCGGCGGAGGAUGGAGGAAGAAAACCGGAUUAGGAUGGAGUAGAUGUUCCAGUACAUGCAGAGUUUUGCUUCGAGCAUGGGACAGUCUUUGCCUCCGCCACCGCUGAUGAUGUUCCCUCCGCCUCAGCCAUCCACGACUACUCCUGUGAGUCACUUGACACAUUGUGCUUAAGAUUCAAUACUUUAAUUUUGACAACUUUAGAUGUUAGUUCAGAAUGUCCUAUCCUAUGUGCAGAAUCAAUCGGCGGCUUCGAAUAAUGAAGAUCAAGAUUUGUCGCAGUGGUCUCCUUGGCCUCCACGGAACUAGACUUGGUUGUGAACUUGGUUGAAACUAAAUUGUGACUUGAACUUGGAUUUAUGGAUUGUUUUGUGCUUAUGUUGAAUUAUGCCUGUGAUGUUUAUGAAUAAUGUUUCUAAUGGUGGUUGUGAAUUAUGCAUGUGAUUGUUUAUUACAAAUGCAUGUGAUGAUGUGUAUUGUGAAUUGAGAGGGGUCCGUUAUACGUGACAAAAUGGGGAAAAAGGGGGGUUCUGGGCACUUUGCCGAGUGUAACACUCGGCAAAGGGGGCACUUCCGGGUCCAGUGGCCACGAGUUUGCCUAGUGUUAAAGCCAAAACACUCUGUCAUGAGUGCAGCAAAUAGAGCUUCUUCAUAACCAAUCUACGGAAGAUUAGAGUCAUGAGCCAUCACCACCUUGUAACAUGACUGUUGGUUGAUCAAGGGUGCUUCCAUUGUCCCCAUAUGCCAAAAUGUUGACCAAUCUCUCGUAACAACUGGCGUAUAUCCAGGACAACCAAGCAAACGAUGUGAUCAAACCGAUCAUUGUACUUACAUUGGUCUAAAAUACAUUAGACAUGCAUCACGCAUGCCAUGGCAUGCCUGAUGGUAGGCGCUUCCAGCUUCCUCCAUGCCUGGAUCGGUCAGCUAUAAAUACACGCGCAAACACCCGAGGAAAACCACCCCCAAAGAACCAGAGACCCGAGCUAGCACUAGAUCAGAUCACCAUUCCUAGCUCUCUUACGAUCUUGCGUUCUUGCUCUUGCUGUGGUGGGAAAUCAAUCAAUCGCCAAAUGGCUGCCAAGCACGGUCUCUUUGUUGCUCUCAACCUACUCCUCUUCGCCGCCGCUGUGUACGGCUGUGCAGAUAACUGUGAGCCAUCCUAUCCCACUCCACCCGUCGAGCCACCAUCAUCGACCUACGUUCCCGAGCCACCAGCUCCGAUAGCGCCGGCGACCGACGGCCACAGCCAUCGCCCGGCCGGUCGGUGCCCACUGGAUGCGCUCAAGCUCCAGGUGUGCGCAAGUGUCCUGGACGGCCUUGUCAAGAUCAGCCUGCCGGAGGAGCG
rnacentral:lncRNA from 1 species